CCGACUCCUACGGGAGGCAGCAGUAGGGAAUCUUCGGCAAUGGACGAAAGUCUGACCGAGCAACGCCGCGUGAGUGAAGAAGGUUUUCGGAUCGUAAAACUCUGUUGGUAGAGAAGAACGUUGGUGAGAGUGGAAAGCUCAUCAAGUGACGGUAACUACCCAGAAAGGGACGGCUAACUACGUGCCAGCAGCCGCGGUAAUACGUAGGUCCCGAGCGUUGUCCGGAUUUAUUGGGCGUAAAGCGAGCGCAGGUGGUUUAUUAAGUCUGGUGUAAAAGGCAGUGGCUCAACCAUUGUAUGCAUUGGAAACUGGUAGACUUGAGUGCAGGAGAGGAGAGUGGAAUUCCAUGUGUAGCGGUGAAAUGCGUAGAUAUAUGGAGGAACACCGGUGGCGAAAGCGGCUCUCUGGCCUGUAACUGACACUGAGGCUCGAAAGCGUGGGGAGCAAGCAGGAUUAGAUACCCUGGUAGUCCACGCCGUAAACGAUGAGUGCUAGAUGUAGGGAGCUAUAAGUUCUCUGUAUCGCAGCUAACGCAAUAAGCACUCCGCCUGGGGAGUACGACCGCAAGGUUGAAACUCAAAGGAAUUGACGGGGGCCCGCACAAG
rnacentral:rRNA from 1 species